GCUGAGGAUUCUAGUGCAUACUAAGAGCUUCUUGGGGGAGCUGGAGGAGAGACAGCAGAAUAGUUGGAGAAAGGCGCAGAAGAGGACGGAGGAACAGGAGAAUGGAUAAACAAAGUCUGUUCACCUGCAAAAUGGGACACAUCCAGAAGCAAUGAGGAAGGAUCCACUGACAUGGGCAAAUACAUGGCGAGAGCUCAGAAGUACGAUGCAAGAGAAGCCAAACCAUAAAAGAAUGCAGGGUCAGGAAAAGAACCACAAUGGUACUCCAGGAAGAUUAAUCUAAAGUGGCACUUGGGGCAGAAGAAAGGAAAUGGAAGUUGAGUCAGGAUUGGCCACGAAACACAAAAGAAAAUUUUGGGAAGAUCUACAUGAGCUUUUAUUGGUAUUAUUCUACAACUUGUGGAGCUCCAUACUGUCCCAACUCUGCUCCUUUAAAAGUGUGACUUUAACUUCUUUGUAGAUGCUUUUUCAGAGUGUAUAAGGUACCAGAGACCAUAAGCUAUAUCACUAUUUUGUGUAUCACUAAGGAGAAAAUGCUGCCAAAUGUUUUCUCCUUUGUUGGGCCAUUUAACUGGUACUUAGUAAAAGGGAUACU